rnacentral:rRNA from 1 species
GACGAACGCUGGCGGCGUGCUUAACACAUGCAAGUCGAACGGUAAGGCCCUUUCGGGGGUACACGAGUGGCGGACGGGGGAGUAACACGUGGGUGAUCUGCCCUGCACUUUGGGAUAAGCCUGGGAAACUGGGUCUAAUACCGGAUAGGACUACGCGAUGCAUGUCGAGUGGUGGAAAGCUUUUGCGGUGUGGGAUGGGCCCGCGGCCUAUCAGCUUGUUGGUGGGGUGAUGGCCUACCAAGGCGACGACGGGUAGCCGGCCUGGGAAGGCGUCCGGCCACACUGGGACUGAGAUACGGCCCAGACUCCUACGGGAGGCAGCAGUGGGAAGUAUUGCACAAUGGGCGCAAGCCUGAUGCAGCGACGCCGCGUGGGGGAUGACGGCCUUCGGGUUGUAAACCCCUUUCAGCGCAGACGAAGCGUAAGUGACGGUAUGUGCAGAAGAAGCACCGGCCAACUACGUG